rnacentral:lncRNA from 1 species
AUGGAAUAUGUUUUAAUUGACUGUGUAGGCCUUCAGACAGUACUGUCUACAGAUGGAGAGACCCCUGAACUAGAUGAUGAUGAUAUAGAGGAUCAGAAAUUCAACUGUACAAUUUUCGGUCCGGAUUAUGUGACUGUGGGUGUGCCGAGCAGCAUCGAAUGUGCUGCCAACUGCCCCGAAUGUACCUAUUCUAUGUCUUUGGACGGACAGAGCGCCCAGGGUCAGGGCAAUGUGUUAGCCUUCACUGUUAACAGUUGGGCGGAGGCCUUAACAGUGACAUGUACAGCCACAGAUGACGAAACAAAGCUGACUGCCACAACUACAAAGAAACUGCAAGUGUUAGCUGGACCUGCCAACGUUUCCAUCACAGGCCCUGAGUUGAUGAAUCCGGCAGUGAGCCACACCUACAGCUGUCACGCCUACUGUCGGCCAUCUUGUACCUAUGCCUGGAAGAUAGAUAAAGGUCCAUGGAUUAGUGGUCAAGGGAAUGUUAUUUCGGUCACUCCUCGAGAGAUGGACAACUCUAAAAUCCUCAUCUGCAAAGCCACCAACAGUGUGUCCGGGCUGUUUGUCGCCGCUACUCGAAACAUAGCUGUGAUAUCUGGUCCAUCAGAGAUUCAGAUCAAAGGCGCUGAUGUAAUAGAAAUGUCCAAAAAGUACAAGUUUGUGUGUACUGCUGAAUGUCUGCCCUCUUGUCGCUACGUGUCGUCUGUGGACAGUCAGACUGUGAGGGGCAAUGUGAUUGAGAUGACAGUGGAUCAUCCAUUUAAAUCUGUCACCCUCAAGUGUGAGGCCCAAAACACUGCUUCGAGGAAGACAGCAACAGCCUCAAAAACUAUACAAAUAACAGGGUCAGAUCGCAGCCUGUCCACUCGUCCUGGAGAGACUUCAGCUGUGCUGCUGCUGGCCUUCAUCGUUUCUGCUGCAUUCACACUGUGAUCCCACUGCAAACAG